UAAUACGGAGGAUCCAAGCGUUAUCCGGAAUCAUUGGGUUUAAAGGGUCCGUAGGCGGUUUUGUAAGUCAGUGGUGAAAGCCCAUCGCUCAACGGUGGAACGGCCAUUGAUACUGCAAGACUUGAAUUACUAGGAAGUAACUAGAAUAUGUAGUGUAGCGGUGAAAUGCUUAGAUAUUACAUGGAAUACCAAUUGCGAAGGCAGGUUACUACUAGUGGAUUGACGCUGAUGGACGAAAGCGUGGGGAGCGAACAGGAUUAGAUACCCUGGUAGUCCACGCCGUAAACGAUGGAUACUAGCUGUUCGGAGCAAUCUGAGUGGCUAAGCGAAAGUGAUAAGUAUCCCACCUGGGGAGUACGUUCGCAAGAAUG
rnacentral:rRNA from 1 species